rnacentral:rRNA from 1 species
UACGUAGGGGGCAAGCGUUGUCCGGAUUCAUUGGGCGUAAAGAGCGUGUAGGCGGCCAGGUAGGUCCGUUGUGAAAACUCGAGGCUCAACCUCGAGACGUCGAUGGAAACCAUCUGGCUAGAGUCCGGAAGAGGAGAGUGGAAUUCCUGGUGUAGCGGUGAAAUGCGCAGAUAUCAGGAAGAACACCUAUGGCGAAGGCGGCUCACUGGUCCGGUACUGACGCUGAGGUGCGAAAGCGUGGGGAGCAAACAGG